rnacentral:rRNA from 1 species
ACCGAUUUCUAUUGCAGAUCCUGGUGGCAGUAACAGCAUAGUAGUGUGAGAACCACUACCACCGCAAGCGCAAGGGUUUCCAGGCAAUGCGUUAUCAGCCUGGAGUUAGUCGAUCCUAAGAAUUGCCUCAACAGAGUAAUUCGAAUGGGAAACUGGUUAAUAUUCCAGUACCUUGCUAAUACGUUAUCAUCUACAUGAGUUGCUUCUAGAUAGGGUGAGUAGAACCGUCGUUUUAUCUAACUGUUCGAGAUUCAGGGAGUGUCGUAAUGACGAGAACUGAUUCGAGGCAGGAAUGGCUUUGCGUUAGCAGAGUUCACUCAACUCUAGGGGACCAUGAAAGUUUGUGUAGAGAGUAUUAGCAAUGUUCGUACCGAGAACCGACACAGGUGCGCUAGCUUAGAAAGCUAAGGUGCUACGGGUAUACCGUAUGGCGAGGGAAUUCGGCAAAUUAGUCCUGUAGCUUAGGUAUAAGGGAUGCCUGCUGUUUUAAUGAGGAAUUGGAACAGCAGGUUGCAAUGACUAGGGGGUUCCGACUGUUUAAUAAAAACACAGG